GUUUCCGUAGUGUAGUGGUCAUCAUGUUUACCUUACAAGCAAAAGGUCCCCAGUUCGGAACUGGGGGAAACA